rnacentral:rRNA from 1 species
GUGACCUCGGUCAGGUGGAUAUCCGCUGAACUUAGAAAAAAAAAAGGGGCAGAAGCUUAUUCCGAAACUCGGUUACGGAAUGUGAAAGCGCGGGGACGGUGGACGAACAGCAGAAUUCAUAAUCGGGGUGAGCUGGUAUAAAAGGUGGGUGUAACGGGUCGACUUCUUCUUCGUGUUGAAGUAACUAUAAAGGAAGGGAGGGGUACAGGACGAACUCUGGCCAGCAGCAGAGUGGAUAGAGGUGCAGGCGCGGCGCGAUAGAGAGUUUUGAGUGAAGAUGGUGUGGGAGGAGACGACGGAGGGUCGAGGUGGGAUGGGCUGGAGAAACGAGGGGCAGGGUCGGGAUUACUUAAUUUUUCCCUCUCAGCGUCUGGUCGGGGCACCGAUACUAUUUGAUGUUUUUUAGCUGAAGGUGGGUGAAGAAUGAAGUAGCCCCGAGAAGCAGCGAGUUUUUUUUUUUCUUCUUU